AACGCGAAGAACCUUACCUACCCUUGACAUGGCUGGAAUCCUUGAGAGAUUGAGGAGUGCUCGAAAGAGAACCAGUACACAGGUGCUGCAUGGCUGUCGUCAGCUCGUGUCGUGAGAUGUUGGGUUAAGUCCCGCAACGAGCGCAACCCUUGUCAUUAGUUGCUACGAAAGGGCACUCUAAUGAGACUGCCGGUGACAAACCGGAGGAAGGUGGGGAUGACGUCAAGUCCUCAUGGCCCUUAUGGGUAGGGCUUCACACGUCAUACAAUGGUACAUACAGAGCGCCGCCAACCCGCGAGGGGGAGCUAAUCGCAGAAAGUGUAUCGUAGUCCGGAUUGUAGUCUGCAACUCGACUGCAUGAAGUUGGAAUCGCUAGUAAUCGCGGAUCAGCAUGUCGCGGUGAAUACGUUCCCGGGUCUUGUACACACCG
rnacentral:rRNA from 1 species